rnacentral:miRNA from 1 species
UCCGGUGCUCACUCUGCCCACA